rnacentral:rRNA from 1 species
AUUGAACGCUGGCGGCAUGCCUUACACAUGCAAGUCGAACGGUAACGCGGGGCAACCUGGCGACGAGUGGCGAACGGGUGAGUAAUAUAUCGGAACGUGCCCCAGUAGUGGGGGGAUAGCCCGGCGAAAAGCCGGAUUAAUACCGCAUACGACCUACGGGUGAAAGCGGGGGAUCGCAAGACCUCGCGCUAUUGGAGCGGCCGAUAUCAGAUUAGGUAGUUGGUGGGGGUUAAAAGGCCUACCAAGCCUACGAUCUGUAGCUGGUCUGAGAGGACGACCAGCCACACUGGGACUGAGACACGGCCCAGACUCCUACGGGAGGCAGCAGUGGGGAAUUUUGGACAAUGGGCGCAAGCCUGAUCCAGCCAUGCC